AGUUUGAUCAUGGCUCAGAACGAACGCUGGCGGCAUGCCUAACACAUGCAAGUCGAACGAGACCUUCGGGUCUAGUGGCGCACGGGUGCGUAACGCGUGGGAACCUGCCCUUAGGUUCGGAAUAACUCCCCGAAAGGGGUGCUAAUACCGGAUGAUGUCUUCGGACCAAAGAUUUAUCGCCUAUGGAUGGGCCCGCGUUGGAUUAGCUAGUUGGUAGGGUAAAGGCCUACCAAGGCGACGAUCCAUAGCUGGUCUUAGAGGAUGAUCAGCCACACUGGGACUGAGACACGGCCCAGACUCCUACGGGAGGCAGCAGUGGGGAAUAUUGGACAAUGGGCGAAAGCCUGAUCCAGCAAUGCCGCGUGAGUGAUGAAGGCCUUAGGGUUGUAAAGCUCUUUUACCCGGGAUGAUAAUGACAGUACCGGGAGAAUAAGCCCCGGCUAACUCCGUGCCAGCAGCCGCGGUAAUACGGAGGGGGCUAGCGUUGUUCGGAAAUACUGGGCGUAAAGCGAACGUAGGCGGCGUGGCAAGUCAGGGGUGAAAUCCCGGA
rnacentral:rRNA from 1 species